GGCCGGCUGGAAGCGGCGGGUGCGGGAGGAACCCAGGCUUCCACAGUCCGCAGCCAGCCCCGCAGCGGGGAAGCCUGUAGGUGGCUGUGACGGUCCGGCCCCUAAGUCAUGCUCGCCUACUGGUGCGCUCCCUUCCCACGCUGUCUCGGAGCCAACUCAUCUUCCUCCGCCUCCCCAAGCCUCAGCCAAAAAGCUCAAGGACUGAGCCGCGCUUCACUUUCCACACCUGUGUGCUGCUUUCCGAGCGCUUUCCAGAAACUCUCCUCUACGGUGCAAACCCCACGUUUUACAGGUGAAGGAGCCAAGACCCAGAGAGUUUCAGGAUCUGACCCUUGCCAAGCAGCGGUACAAAAAUACGAAUGGACAAGGGGGAAUGUGGCCCUAAAUAUUGUCAGCGACUGCAGACCCAGAAGAUGAUUGGCAACCCAACUUCAAGUCUUAGGUGACAAGUCUUCGGGCAUGGUCAGCAACGUACUUAAAGGGCCCCUCCCCUUGACUGACUGACUUUAAUUGUUUUCUCAGCCUCACAGUUUGGCUGCCCUAUCCUUUCCUCUUCUGUUGCAUCUUCCUCGACUUAUGAUGGGGUACCUCUGGAUAUGGUUAUCAUUAUAUUUUUCAUCUUUGAUCUCCCGCUCUUCCUUCCGGAUCCUCACAGCAUGGUAUCGGGGAACGCUAUCAUCGUACCUAGAGCGCUUAAAGAAUCCGCACUGACAAAGGGGAAAGAGAAGCAGAAAUAAAUUAAGUAUCUCAAGAAAAGCUAAUGCACAAAAUGGGAGCGUCUAAGCUUUCUGUUCAGCUACGCCUACCUUUGGAUAAAGGGAAAAAAAGACAUGGGAUAAACAGAAGAGAAGACAGCUGUAAAACUGGAAGAAAAGUCCAUUAUUUCCAUUCUGUCUUUACUAACAAAGUUGAGUUAUAGAAAAAUGCUUCCAUUUUUUAUAAUCACAAUACUAUAUGUUAAAGAUCUAAUUUUCACAUUAAAAAGACUGCUCUUUAAAAUGAUAUUCUAACAAAGGCCAUAAACCUAACAAAGGCCAUAAACCAAAGAUUAUUUUUACCUCUCUCCCACUAACAGAAUGGAAUCAGAUCACAAAUAUUUUACAAAUUACUAUCUAAAUAUGCCAGUGUUCAAAUGGGUCAGUGUUCAAAUGGGUCAAUUUAAGAAUCUUCUCUUCUCCAAGGCUCAGCACAUAUCUCUCAUUAGCUACCAGGCAAUUUACACUGCCUGGAUUUCCUGUUGUGCUUUCAACUUAAGCUGUUUCAUUCAUAAAUCAUGUAGUAACUGUGUCCUUAAUAAAAUCGGUCAUGUACCGCAAAGAACUCGAGUAGGACAGUAGCACUACACUGAAUUUUCAAGCACCCCUAAUUUUUUUUUGGGCAAAAGAAAUUUACACUUAGGUUAUUAAUGAAUAUAUAUUUUAUUCAUUUUUUAAAAAAUAUUCAAUCUGAUCCAAGGUAGAUUUUUAUUGAGAACAUAUUAGGGAAUUUUUUUUUUUUAACUCAAAUUGAAUUUUUAAAAUGAAUAAAAUAUGUUUAAUGAAAAAGGUGUGUUUUCAAUUUAAAAAUGCAGAUAGAGGGAGGAUGAGGAAGAUAGUUGGAAGGGUCAAUUUGUAUCAUGUAACAGGACUGGAACAUUUAUUUUGAAUGAUGUUAUAAGAUGUCAUGGGGCAAAGCUAUAUCCAGUCAUCACUAAGUCAAUUGGAAAAAAUGACCAAGACAUUUUGUUCUAAGGCCAUGUCUACAUGGACUCCUUAAUUAUUCUGUGCAAAAAGCCAAAAUACCUAUCAAUUACAAAA